rnacentral:lncRNA from 1 species
CUACACAACAAGACACACCAGAAAGACAUGAAUAAUCACAGGGAACUAGGAACAGGACAGACUUAGAAUACAGGAAUACAGGGCGUGACAGUAAGAUGACAACGUAUGAUUGCACGUAGUUCUCACGGUUUGUAAGCAUUAGUAUAAUUACACAUAUAUCUGUGCGUUGAACUAAAUCUUUUUCAAAGUUGUUUGAUCUUUUUUUUUAUCAGACCAUUGAGUGUCAUUUGCAAGCCAUGAAAGAAACCGUGGACGUGGAGAAGACAAAAAAACGUAUUGCAAAUGAAUCAUUACACAGCGGGAGUAGUCAUGAGUGGAAAAAGAGAGUUUGCAACACACUUUGUCAAGUGUAGGGGUGAUAGGAGUAUGACGGAGCAAGAAAGAUGAGUGCUUUUGUAUUUGAUUAUUGUUAUUUACUCCAAGAAGACAAUACAACAGUUAAAGAGGAACGAAAAAAGCCAGGAAAAAAAGCUACCUGCAUCGUCAGUCUGUAACCACGCCCGCUCGAAUUACAUCACUCGGAGACCAGCCCCCCCCCCACACACACCUGCCCGCCGGGUUCUGCGAGAGAGAAGGGAGCUGAGUGAGUUUGUUCCGCGUCUUUUUAUCAUUAGUUUUAUCUUUCCUUUGUUUUAGAACAGAUAAAAUGUAAUAUAAUCAUGUAGUCUAUAACUUGCAGGAGAAAGAGGUAAAACAAGUAUUUUCGUUGGGAGCUAAAUAGCAUUUUGUAAUGUGAGUCUUUUAUUUUCCAAGGCUGCUCUUAUCUGUUUUACACAGCCAACGCGUGUAUUCCUUUAACAUCGAGGAAAAGCUCUGUUGCAGCAGUUUAGUGUCUUCGAACAGGACACGAUUCGCACUAAAUAAUGGGAGUUUAAACGAAAUGCAGCAGUUCCAGUCGCUGCCUCCACAUAUCCCUUGGAGGAAAAACAGUAAUGUGCUUUUCCGUGCAGUUGCAUGCAAAUCGUUUCGUACUCUGUUUAAAAACAUUUAGCUU